GAGUUUGAUUCUGGCUCAGAACGAACGCUGGCGGCGCGUCUUAAGCAUGCAAGUCGAACGGUAAGGGAGAGCUUGCUCUCCCCUAGAGUGGCGGACUGGUGAGUAACGCGUGGGUGACCUGCCCUGAAGAUGGGGAUAGCUAGUAGAAAUAUUAGAUAAUACCGAAUGUGCUCAUUUACAUAAAGGUAAAUGAGGAAAGGAGCUACGGCUCCGCUUCAGGAUGGGCCCGCGUCCCAUUAGCUAGUUGGUGAGGUAAAGGCCCACCAAGGCAACGAUGGGUAUCCGGCCUGAGAGGGUGAACGGACACAUUGGGACUGAGAUACGGCCCAAACUCCUACGGGAGGCAGCAGCUAAGAAUCUUCCGCAAUGGACGAAAGUCUGACGGAGCGACGCCGUGUGAAUGAAGAAGGCCGAAAGGUUGUAAAAUUCUUUUGCAGAUGAAGAAUAACCACAGGAGGGAAUGCCUGUGAGAU
rnacentral:rRNA from 1 species